rnacentral:rRNA from 1 species
UACGUAGGGUGCGAGCGUUGUCCGGAAUUAUUGGGCGUAAAGAGCUUGUAGGCGGUCUGUCGCGUCUGCUGUGAAAAUCCGGGGCUCAACCCCGGACUUGCAGUGGGUACGGGCAGACUAGAGUGUGGUAGGGGGAGACUGGAAUUCCUGGUGUAGCGGUGAAAUGCGCAGAUAUCAGGAGGAACACCGAUGGCGAAGGCAGGUCUCUGGGCCGCAACUGACGCU